rnacentral:tRNA from 1 species
UCCCUAAUAGCUCAGUUGGUAAAGAAUCUGCCUGCAAUGCAGAAGACCUGGGUUUGAUCCCUGGGUUGGGAA